rnacentral:rRNA from 1 species
AUUGAACGCUGGCGGCAGGCCUAACACAUGCAAGUCGAACGAGUGGCGGACGGGUGAGUAAUGUCUGGGAAACUGCCUGAUGGAGGGGGAUAACUACUGGAAACGGGAGCUAAUACCGCAUACCAUCGGAUGUGCCCAUAUGGGAUUAGCUGGUAGGUGGGGUAACGGCUCACCUAGGCGAAGAUCCCUAGCUGGUCUGAGAGGAUGACCACCCACACUGGAACUGGGACCCGGUCCAGACUCCUACGUGAGGCAGCAGUGGGGAAUAUUGCACAAUGGGCGCAAGCCUAAUGCAGCCAUGCCGCGGGUGUGAAGAAGGCCUUCGGUUUGUAAAGCACUUUCAGCGGGGAGGCGUUACCCGCAGAAGAAGCACCGGCUAACUCCGUGCCAGCAGCCGCGGUAAUUC